GAUGAACGCUAGCGGCAGGCCUAAUACAUGCAAGUCGAACGGAUAUAUGUUUUUCGGAAUAUAUAUUAGUGGCGCACGGGUGAGUAACACGUACAUAACUUGCCCUCAAGCGGGGGAUAGCCUUGGGAAACUGAGAGUAAUACCCCAUAGAAUUAUUGGACGGCAUCGUUUGAUAAUUAAAACUACGGUGCUUGGGGAUAGAUGUGCGUCUGAUUAGCUAGUUGGUGAGGUAACUGCUCACCAAGGCGACGAUCAGUAGGGGGCGUGAGAGCGUGGCCCCCCACACGGGUACUGAGACACGGACCCGACUCCUACGGGAGGCAGCAGUAAGGAAUAUUGGUCAAUGGAGGGAACUCUGAACCAGCCAUGCCGCGUGAAGGAUGACGGCCCUCUGGGUUGUAAACUUCUUUUGGAUGGGGCGAAAAAACGGGAUUUAUCCUGGACUGACGGUACCAUCAGAAUAAGCACCGGCUAACUCCGUGCCAGCAG
rnacentral:rRNA from 1 species